AUUGAACGCUGGCGGCAGGCCUAACACAUGCAAGUCGAGCGGCAGCGGGAAGGUAGCUUGCCACUUUUGCCGGCGAGCGGCGGACGGGUGAGUAAUGCCUGGGAAAUUGCCCAGUCGAGGGGGAUAACAGUUGGAAACGACUGCUAAUACCGCAUACGCCCUACGGGGGAAAGCAGGGGACCUACGGGCCUUGCGCGAUUGGAUAUGCCCAGGUGGGAUUAGCUAGUUGGUGAGGUAAUGGCUCACCAAGGCGACGAUCCCUAGCUGGUCUGAGAGGAUGAUCAGCCACACUGGAACUGAGACACGGUCCAGACUCCUACGGGAGGCAGCAGUGGGGAAUACUGCACAAUGGGGGAAACCCUGAUGCAGCCAUGCCGCGUGUGUGAAGAAGGCCUUCGGGUUGUAAAGCACUUUCAGCGAGGAGGAAAGGUUGGUGCCUAAUACGUAUCAACUGUGACGUUACUCGCAGAAGAAGCACCGGCUAACUCCGUGCCAGCAGCCGCAGUAAAAC
rnacentral:rRNA from 1 species